AGAAUAAUAAGUAUUUAAGGGAUAAAGAUGAUAUGGUUCAUAACAAUUUUUCAAUAAAGAACAAAAUUGCUCGUAAAAGAGUAGAAAGAUCUGGGAGCUAGCAGCGCAUCGGAGCGGCCACGCUUUUGUGAAUUCCGACUCAAACGCGACAUAAAAGUACCCUUUUCACGGCGGAAACAGAUCCAAAAGAACCCACACAGCUUCCUAAGCCUCACUGCAGACCAUGGGCCGAAAAUCUAAAAAGGCAAAAGCUGAGAAAGGCACUCACGGCAGAGACAUCGGCGACAUGCUGAGGAACACACAACAGGCCGUAUGGUCCAAAAUGGCGGACGACCUUGCCUCAUAUUCCUCGGAGGAGCUUGAUACAGACCUCACGGAGGGAACGAGCUUCGGUCCCACACCAGACCACUACAAUACACCUAAAGCGCCUGGGGAACCAGUCACAGCGGAUCAGUUAAAGAAAAUGCUGGCUGAUCUGCGCAGGGACCUGGCGGCGGACAUGGCCUACUACAGAGAGGCCAUAGAAGGAGCCCAGUCCAAAAUCUCGCGGCUGGAGGCCUGCUCGAGCACACAGGACUCCAGAAUAGCCAAAGUGGAACAACAAAUGGCAGAUCUGUCGAAGCAGCAGACCGCCACCACGGAACGGCUAGAUGCCUUAGAAGAUCAGCGGAGGAGGUACAACUUAAAAAUCCGAGGAAUACCCGACUCAGUUGGCCUCUCUGAGCUGCCCCACUACAUUAGGCGGUUCCUGGGAGCCCUAAUCCCACCUAAACAAAUGAAAUCCCUGAGACUAGACGGGAUGUUCCGACUACCAAAGCCGGCAAGAGCUCCAGCUGCCGCACCUACAGACCUCAUACUGCGCUUUCAAUCCCUGUCGGACAAAGCUACACUCCUAGCUGCACUACGUAACAAGACACCUUUGCCGUUUGAGGGCACAACUCUAACAAUCUUCCCAGAUAUUACCAAGAGCACCCUUACCUGGAGGAAAUCAAUGCAACCCCUCCUGCAGCACCUCCGAGCCAAAGAGAUGCCCUACCGAUGGGGAACACCACGAGCAGUAAUCUUCACCCAUAACGGGAUAACUCACAAGGCACAGACCUUCCAGGAACUAGAGUCACUCCUCACGACCAUGGGCAUAAUUCCAGCAGCGCCAACGAAAGGCACAGGACUGUCCCAGCUUGACCUGGCGAAUGUACGGGAGUUCACCCCGAGGGAGACCCAGAAGGCAUUGCCAAAUAGACACCCCACUUGAGGCAUUAAGGAUAGCCCAAGCUAUGGGGUCACUAUAAUUCCGCCAAGAACGUUCCUCACAUAGUUUGAGACUGCUACUAGAAGGUCUAUCAGUUACUUUUUUAAAGUUUUAUUUUCGUUGACAGUUACAAUUCUUUUUUGUCUUUUUUACACAUACUCACAUACAAUCCGUGCUUAACGACAUAGAGCUGCUCCACACACACAUGAGACAGCUGACGGAACUAGUCACACACAAAUAGGCCGCCCGCACAGAAGAACUCGACAAGUUCACACACAGGCUAUCACGACACAACUUCAACGAGGCUAUACCAAUCUGCUCACAGCCAUGGCGGAGUAGCCUUUCUCCCCCCCACCCCCCUCCCCGGUCUUUCUUUACCAGUCAUGGGUUGAGUCCAACCUCAAACACGCAUACACAGCUCUCGGGCUAGGGGGACCCCCCCCACCUGACUAACACAAAUCUAGAUUUACACUUAAUUAACU
rnacentral:lncRNA from 1 species